AAUCAACGCUGGCGGCGUGCCUAAUACAUGCAAGUCGAGCGAACAGAUGAGAAGCUUGCUUCUCUGAUGUUAGCGGCGGACGGGUGAGUAACACGUGGGUAACCUACCUAUAAGACUGGGAUAACUCCGGGAAACCGGGGCUAAUACCGGAUAAUAUUUUGAACCGCAUGGUUCAAUAGUGAAAGACGGUUUCGGCUGUCACUUAUAGAUGGACCCGCGCCGUAUUAGCUAGUUGGUAAGGUAACGGCUUACCAAGGCGACGAUACGUAGCCGACCUGAGAGGGUGAUCGGCCACACUGGAACUGAGACACGGUCCAGACUCCUACGGGAGGCAGCAGUAGGGAAUCUUCCGCAAUGGGCGAAAGCCUGACGGAGCAACGCCGCGUGAGUGAUGAAGGUCUUCGGAUCGUAAAACUCUGUUGUUAGGGAAGAACAAAUUUGUUAGUAACUGAACAAGUCUUGACGGUACCUAACCAGAAAGCCACGGCUAACUACGUGCCAGCCGCCGCAGUAACAC
rnacentral:rRNA from 1 species